AGUGAACGCUGGCGGCGUGCCUAACACAUGCAAGUCGUGCGAGAAAGGGAGCAAUCCUGAGUAAAGCGGCGAACGGGUGAGUAACACGUGGUUAACCUGCCUGGAUGUGGGGGAUACCCCGGGGAAACCCGGGACAAUACCGCAUGAUGUCUCUCGGGCGUCGGCCUGGGAGAGCAAAGCCGGGGACCGCAAGGCCUGGCGCAUCCAGAGGGGACCGCGGCCGAUUAGCUAGUUGGCGGGGUAAUGGCCCACCAAGGCAUCGAUCGGUAGCCGGCCUGAGAGGGUGAACGGCCACACCGGAACUGAGACACGGUCCGGACUCCUACGGGAGGCAGCAGUGGGGAAUUUGCGCAAUGGGCGAAAGCCUGACGCAGCAACGCCGCGUGAAGGAUGAAGGUCUUCGGAUUGUAAACUCCUGUCGACCGGGACGAAUCGGCGGGUGCUAAUCAGCCCCGUCUUGACUGUACCGGCAAAGGAAGCCCCGGCUAACUCCGUGCCAGCAGCCGCGGUAA
rnacentral:rRNA from 1 species